GCUUCCUGGAAUUUUCUCCUGCUGUAUUUGUUCAUAUUCCAUCAGCCUGAGCAGAACUCAGGCACGUGGUCACAUCUAAUGGGGUUGUCUCAUCACUGCUUCCAACACUGCAGGGCACAGCAACAGGGGAUAAUUCGUCCUUUGCUACCCAUGGAGGAAGGAAGAAGGAUUCUCAGUCCUGGAGCAGGCCCUCAACACCUUCUUCCAGAACUAUAGCAGUUUACAACGGCACUUAUAGAGGCAGUGGGGCACUGUGGUUACCAGCAUGGACUUUGGAGUAAGACAGAAUUGAAUUCAGAUCCUGACACCUCCGAG
rnacentral:lncRNA from 1 species